CCAUCCUAUUUCAACCGGUAUCAACGAGGGCAGUAAGGAUCCCCUCUACCAUGUGAAUACAUUACAAUUCAGUUCACAGUUUGUAGUACACAGUUUAUAGUUCGCAGUCCUUAUCACUUCGUCACAUUUGGCUAAAGUUAUAUAUACGGGUAGGGUUCACUACAGUCACACGCCAAAAGGCUACACACACACCCACCCCUCGGUGAUACUGGUAAAAUAAAU
rnacentral:lncRNA from 1 species